GGACUGUUUGGGUUUGAACUUGUUGAUGUUUGUGUUGACAUACAGCAUAUUUUUAACAAUACAGUGUCUGCUGAGUGCAACCACACUCAUAAAUCCUGAGUCUGGAAACAUGAAGUCUGAUUCGUCCUUCUCUGAGGGCGUCUUUGUCACACUGAACUCGUCCUGCAAACUGUCCAACCUGAGACUCUGGGAGCUCAACACCCUCACGUACAUAAUACAGGACUGAGAGCUUGUGAUCAGUGAACAGUCUACAGUAGAUGUUCAGUGAGGUGGAGGAACUGUCAGGUUUGGUUGUAAACAUCCAUUCCAGUGUGAUGUUGUGGUUCUCCUCUGCCUGAUAAGAGGUCUGUGUCACGUUCACAA